rnacentral:rRNA from 1 species
UAAUACGUAGGGGGCGAGCGUUGUCCGGAAUUACUGGGCGUAAAGGGCGCGUAGGCGGCGGGUUAAGUCUGUUGUGAAAUACCUCGGCCCAACCGGGGAAGUGCAAUGGAAACUGGCCUGCUUGAGUACGGUAGAGGCAAGCGGAAUUCCCAGUGUAGCGGUGAAAUGCACAGAGAUUGGGAGGAACACCAGUGGCGAAGGCGGCUUGCUGGGCCGAAACUGACGCUGAGGCGCGAAAGCGUGGGGAGCAAACAGG